rnacentral:rRNA from 1 species
UACGAAGGGGGCUAGCGUUGCUCGGAAUCACUGGGCGUAAAGGGUGCGUAGGCGGGUCUUUAAGUCAGGGGUGAAAUCCUGGAGCUCAACUCCAGAACUGCCUUUGAUACUGAGGAUCUUGAGUUCGGGAGAGGUGAGUGGAACUGCGAGUGUAGAGGUGAAAUUCGUAGAUAUUCGGAAGAACACCAGUGGCGAAGGCGGCUCACUGGACUGGUAUUGACGCUGAGGCGCGAAAGCGUGGGGAGCAAACAGG